GAAGCUGGCUAGACAGUCGCCGUCCACGUAAGUGGAGGGAGGAAAGUCCGGGCUGCAAAGAGCGGGAUGACGGUUAACGGCCGUCCGCCGAAAGCUGCAAAGUAUAAGGCGAGGAAUAGGGCCACAGAGACGAGUAAGUUACGGUUCGCCGUAAUGGACGUGAAACGCGGUAACCUCCAUUCGCAGCAAGACCAAAUAGGCUGGCAUUGACGUGGCUCGCGUCGCCAGCGGGUAGGUUGCUCGAGCGCAUGAGUAAUCAUGCGCCUAGAUGAAUGACUGUCGUGCGUUGUAUAACGCAAACAGAACCCGGCUUAUCGGCCAGCUUCCUUU
rnacentral:RNase_P_RNA from 1 species